UACGUAGGUGGCAAGCGUUGUUCGGAAUUAUUGGGCGUAAAGGGCGCGUAGGCGGUCCGUUAAGUCGGAUGUGAAAGCCCCCGGCUCAACCGGGGAAGUGCAUCCGAAACUGGCAGGCUAGAGUACGAAAGAGGGUCGCGGAAUUCCCGGUGUAGAGGUGAAAUUCGUAGAUAUUGGGGAGGAACACCAGUGGCGAAGGCGGCUCACUGGACCGGAACUGACG
rnacentral:rRNA from 1 species